GCUGGUCUGAGAGGAUGAUCAGCCACACUGGAAUUGACACACGGUCUAGACUCCUACGGGAGGUAGUAGUGAGGAAUUUUGCGCAAUGGGGGAAACCCUGACGCAGCAACGCCGCGUGAGUGAUGAAGGCUUUAGGGUCGUAAAGCUCUGUCAAGUGGGAAGAAGCUAUUCGGGAGUAAUAUGUCCGGAUAUUGACGGUACCACUGAAGGAAGCACCGGCUAACUCCGUGCCAGUAGUUGUGGUAAUACGGGGGGUGUAAGCGUUAUUCGGAAUCAUUGGGCGUAAAGGGCACGCAGGCGGCCUGGUAAGUCAGAUGUGAAAGUUUGGGGUUUAACCCCGGAAGUGCAUUUGAAACUAUCAGGCUUGAGUAUGGGAGAGGGAAGUGGAAUUUUUGGUGUAGAGGUGAAAUUUGUAGAUAUUAGGAGGAACACCGGUGGUGAAGGUGACUUCCUGGACCAAUACUGACGCUGAGGUGCGAAGGCGUGGGGAGUAAACAGGAUUAGAUAUCCUGGUAGUUCACGCAGUAAACGUUGUUCACUAGGUGUAGCGGGUAUUGAUUCCUGCUGUGCCGGAGUUAACGCAUUAAGUGAACCGCCUGGGGAGUACGAUCGCAAGAUUAAAACUCAAAGGAAUUGACGGGGGCCCGCACAAGCGGUGGAGCAUGUGGUUUAAUUCGACGCAACGCGAAGAACCUUACCUGGAUUUGACAUCUCGGGAAUCCUAUCGAAAGACUGGAGUGCCCUUCGGGAGCCCGAAGACAGGUGCUGCAUGGCUGUCGUCAGCUUGUGUCGUGAGAUGUUGGGUUAAGUCCCGCAACGAGCGCAACCCCUAUCUUUAGUUGUUAGUAAUUUGGUUGGGAAUUCUAGAGAUACUGCCCCGGUUAAUGGGGAGGAAGGUGGGGAUGACGUUAAGUCCUCAUGGCCUUUAUGUCCAGGGCUACACACGUGCUACAAUGGGCAAUACAAAGGGUCGCGAGCCUGUGAAGGUUAGUUAAUCCCAGAAAGUUGUUCACAGUUCGGAUUGGAGUCUGUAAUUUGACUCCAUGAAGUUGGAAUCGCUAGUAAUCGCGGAUCAGUAUGCCGCGGUGAAUACGUUCCCGGGCCUUGUACACACCGCCCGUCACACCAUGGGAGUUGAUUGUACCGGAAGUUGUUGGGCCAACUCAUUAGAGAGGCAGGCACCUAUGGUAUGAUUGAUGAUUGGGGUGAAGUCGAAAUAGGGUA
rnacentral:rRNA from 1 species